CAAUAGCGUAUAUUUAAGUUGCUGCAGUUAAAAAGCUCGUAGUUGGAUUUCGGGUGGGAAUGGCCGGUCCGCCGUUUCGGUGUGCACUUGCUACGCCCACCUGGCUGCCGGGGACGUGCUCUUGAGUUCACGCUCGGGACACGGAGUCGGCGAGGUUACUUUGAGUAAAUUAGAGUGUUCAAAGCAGGCCUACGCUCUGAAUACAUUAGCAUGGAAUAACACGAUAGGACUCUGGCCUAUCUUGUUGGUCUGUAGGACCGGAGUAAUGAUUAAGAGGGACAGUCGGGGGCAUUCGUAUUUCAUUGUCAGAGGUGAAAUUCUUGGAUUUAUGAAAGACGAACUACUGCGAAAGCAUUUGCCAAGGAUGUUUUCAUUAA
rnacentral:rRNA from 1 species